AGAACGAACGCUGGCGGCACGCCUAACACAUGCAAGUCGAGCGCCCAGCAAUGGGAGCGGCGGACGGGUGAGUAACACGUGGGAACAUGCCUUUCGGUACGGAACAACUGCGGGAAACUGCAGCUAAUGCCGUAUACGCCCUUACGGGGAAAGAUUUAUCGCCGAAAGAUUGGCCCGCGUCUGAUUAGCUAGUUGGUGAGGUAACGGCUCACCAAGGCUUCGAUCAGUAGCUGGUUUGAGAGAACGACCAGCCACAUUGGGACUGAGACACGGCCCAAACUCCUACGGGAGGCAGCAGUGGGGAAUCUUGGACAAUGGGGAAACCUGAUCCAGCGAUGCCGCGUGAGUGAUGAAGGCCUUGGGUUGUAAAACUCUUUCGACGGGGACGAUAAUGACGGUACCCGUAGAAGAAGCUCCGGCUAACUUCGUGCCAGCAGCCGC
rnacentral:rRNA from 1 species